rnacentral:rRNA from 1 species
GAUGAACGCUGGCGGCGUGCCUAAUACAUGCAAGUCGAGCGAACGGACGAGAAGCUUGCUUUUCUGAUGUUAGCGGCGGACGGGUGAGUAACACGUGGAUAACCUACCUAUAAGACUGGGAUAACUUCGGGAAACCGGAGCUAAUACCGGAUAAUAUUUUGAACCGCAUGGUUCAAAAGUGAAAGACGGUCUUGCUGUCACUUAUAGAUGGAUCCGCGCUGCAUUAGCUAGUUGGUAAGGUAACGGCUUACCAAGGCAACGAUGCAUAGCCGACCUGAGAGGGUGAUCGGCCACACUGGAACUGAGACACGGUCCAGACUCCUACGGGAGGCAGCAGUAGGGAAUCUUCCGCAAUGGGCGAAAGCCUGACGGAGCAACGCCGCGUGAGUGAUGAAGGUCUUCGGAUCGUAAAGCUCUGUUAUUAGGGAAGAACAUAUGUGUAAGAAACUGUGCACAUCUUGACGGUACCUAAUGAGAAAGCAACGGCUAACUACGUG